rnacentral:rRNA from 1 species
UACGUAGGGUCCGAGCGUUGUCCGGAUUUAUUGGGCGUAAAGAGCUCGUAGGCGGUUUCGUAAGUCGGAUGUGAAAUCUCAGGGCUCAACCCGGAAACUGCACCCGAUACUGCGAUGACUUGAGUCUGGUAGGGGAACACGGAAUUCCUGGUGUAGCGGUGAAAUGCGCAGAUAUCAGGAGGAACACCGAUGGCGAAGGCAGUGUUCUGGGCCAGUACUGACGCUGAGGAGCGAAAGCGUGGGGAGCAAACAGG